AAGGCCUUAUGUUAAAAAAACAAACAGCCUUCAAAGCUGCAAAUGAAAGUAAAAUCCUUUUAGGCUUUA
rnacentral:tRNA from 1 species